rnacentral:tRNA from 1 species
UGGGCUAUCGCCAAAUGGUAAGGCAACGGAUUCUCCGUUAUUUGUGGGUUCGAAUCCCACUAGCCCCG